CCUUCGUGAACAAGCCCCAUAGUACAUUGUAUAGAAAGGGACAAACCUCCCUGCUGAAACUAGUGGAAGACGCUGCCCUUUAAAGUUUAUGAAAAGGUGACUCCUUCGUGAACAAGCCCCAUAGUACAUUGUAUAGAAAGGGACAAACCUCCCUGCUGAAACUAGUGGAAGACGCUGCCCUUUAAAGUUUAUGAAAAGGUGACUCCUUCGUGAACAAGCCCCAUAGUACAUUGUAUAGAAAGGGACAAACCUCCCUGCUGAAACUAGUGGAAGACGCUGCCCUUUAAAGUUUAUGAAAAGGUGACUCCUUCGUGAACAAGCCCCAUAGUACAUUGUAUAGAAAGGGACAAACCUCCCUGCUGAAACUAGUGGAAGACGCUGCCCUUUAAAGUUUAUGAAAAGGUGACUCCUUCGUGAACAAGCCCCA